rnacentral:misc_RNA from 1 species
CCGAGUUUACAACUCCCAAACCCCUGUGAACAUACCACUUGUUGCCUCGGCGGAUCAGCCCGCUCCCGGUAAAACGGGACGGCCCGCCAGAGGACCCUAAACUCUGUUUCUAUAUGUAACUUCUGAGUAAAACCAUAAAUAAUC